GCCGUGGUGGCGAAAUUGGUAGACGCAGCAGGUUUAGGUCCUGCCGCCGCAAGGCGUGGGGGUUCGAGUCCUCUCCACGGCACCA
rnacentral:tRNA from 1 species